rnacentral:rRNA from 1 species
UACGUAGGGGGCAAGCGUUGUCCGGAAUUAUUGGGCGUAAAGAGCUCGUAGGCGGUCUGUCGCGUCGGCUGUGAAAACACGGGGCUCAACUCCGUGCCUGCAGUCGAUACGGGCAGACUAGAGUUCGGUAGGGGAGUGUGGAAUUCCCGGUGUAGCGGUGAAAUGCGCAGAGAUCGGGAGGAACACCCGUAGCGAAGGCGGCACUCUGGGCCGGUACUGACGCUGAGGAGCGAAAGCGUGGGGAGCAAACAGG